rnacentral:ncRNA from 1 species
UCUGUUGAGUUUAAGUAUAUAAUUAAGCGAAGGAAAAGAAACUUACAAGGAUUCCCCUAGUAACAACGAGCGAACUAAAA